ensembl:lncRNA
GGAAGUCUUUAGGACCCAGGGGACCCAAUGGAGGGUAUAAAAGAGGAAGUAGCAGCAGGUGCUCUUCAUUUCCACUGACGAGCGGCUGUGAACAAUGGUUGUGUGAGUAGGUGAAGAGCCUGAGAAGUUUUAAUUGUCUGCUACACAAACAGUUGUUGUAAACCUCUACAGCAGAGGUUCGAGGCUGUUUUUCUUUUAGUGUUUUUUUUUAAAUUUGUUGAAAUGUAUUUGAUGUUUAUUGUAUUUUAUGUUUUAGUAGUGAUUUUCACAAGAUAAGCCAAGAUAAGCCAGGUGUGCAGCAAACACAGUUGUCUGCUGGAGGUAUGUUAACUUAAUAUAUUUGACAUUAAAAAAA